ensembl:miRNA
UGGAAGACUAGUGAUUUUGUUGUUAUGUGUCAAAAUUGACAACAAGUCAUGGUCUACCUCA